CUUGAAAGCCAAUUAGCUAGCUUGGGGUUUCUGUGUUUCUUUUCUUCUCACAACAGCAACUGGACACUGUGUUUGACAUUCAACCCACCACCAACAGCAGCUUCAUGCAUCUACCACCAACUCUGGCUUCCUGGAUAUGCGACCUGUACAGUGGGUCACUGAGACUGCAGAUCAGGAGCAUUACAGGACGCCUGAUGUCACUCUUCCUCGGACCUCAGAAUCUUCUAUGUCAGACUCAGUGGGCUCACGGGCCCCGUUCUGCUCCCUCUUCACUGGGAUGCAGCACGCCCAGAGAUGAAGUCUUCAGGCUUAGAAUUCCCACUGCCAGGAUUUAAACCCUGGCUCACCUCCUGCUAGCUGUGCACACUCAAAUAAAGACCUUAAUCUCUCUGUGUCUCCA
rnacentral:lncRNA from 12 species